rnacentral:rRNA from 1 species
UACGUAGGGUGCAAGCGUUGUCCGGAAUUAUUGGGCGUAAAGCGCACGUAGGCGGUUCGUUAUGUCGGAUGUGAAAGCCCUUGGCUUAACCGAGGAAGUGCAUCCGAAACUGGCGAGCUAGAGUACUAAAGAGGAUCGCGGAAUUCCCGGUGUAGAGGUGAAAUUCGUAGAUAUCGGGAGGAACACCGGUGGCGAAGGCGGCGAUCUGGGUAGAUACUGACGCUGAGGUGCGAAAGCGUGGGGAGCAAACAGG